rnacentral:rRNA from 1 species
UCCUACGGGAGGCAGCAGUGGGGGAUAUUGCACAAUGGGGGGAACCCUGAUGCAGCGACGCCGCGUGGGCGAUGGAGUGCUUCGGCAUGUAAAGCCCUAUCAGCAGGGAAGAAGAUGACGGUACCUGACCAAGAAGCCCCGGCUAACUACGUGCCAGCGGCCGCGGUAAUACGUAGGGGGCAAGCGUUAUCCGGAUUUACUGGGUGUAAAGGGGGCGCAGACGGCAAUGCAAGCCAGGAGUGAAAGCCCGGGGCCCAACCCCGGGACUGCUCUUGGAACUGCAUGGCUGGAGGACAGGAGGGGCG